rnacentral:rRNA from 1 species
UACAUGGGGUGCAAACGUUGCUCGGAAUUAUUGGGCGUAAAGCGCGCGUAGGCGGUUACUUAAGUCGGAUGUGAAAGCCCUCGGCUUAACUGAGGAAGUGCAUCCGAAACUGAGUAGCUAGAGUACGAAAGAGGGUCGCGGAAUUCCCGGUGUAGAGGUGAAAUUCGUAGAUAUCGGGGGGAACACCGGUGGCGAAGGCGGCGACCUGGGUCGAGACUGACGCUGAUGCGCGAAAGCGUGGGGAGCAAACAGG